UUUCGUAAUAUGCACGUACAUUUCCAAAGAGCGUAAUCUGUCGCUACUAUAACUGUAUUACUACACCCAUUCCCUACCAUCCCUAAUGCUUUGAAGUGAGCCCUACAUUCAUUGCAUUCAUGUCUUGGCCUCUGAGUAUGAGCAGCACAGCAGCAGAAACGGAUGGGGGAGGGGAGGCAGAAACAAACUCCGUACACACAGCCAGGCCCUUCCGCAGCCGACCGACUGGUACACAACUUUGCAACACUAUUUGCCUACUAAAAUAUUCUCUCUAACACUCCCCCAGCGGAACGCAGACCUACAGAGAGGAAAUAUUCACGGAGAGGAAAUUUGAUCGAAAGUUUUGCCUGCCAUUUUUUGUAUUUUUACCUGAACAGAUGGAUUAGAGAAGAAAAGAAAUCUAGAUCUAAAGUACAGUCUACAAAUCUUUCAUUUGGUGGAAGUGACUAUUAUAGUACUGUAGAUGCACAUUUUACAAAAUAGUCUGUGUGUGCAUGGGUGUGUUAGGAACAUAUUGUCCCCUCUAUAUUGUGUUUGAUUUUGUUCGUAUUGCCACCUCCCAGCAUUCUCUGCACAUUCUCUGACUAUGACGUCCUCACUACAUCAGAGAGACUCGUCAAACAGAUACACUACCACAAAAAUACAAAGCAAACAUUACCCCGCCAUGUACACAAAUGAAGACAUCUGAAUUGUAUGACCACAGAGACAAACACUCAAAGACCUCAGUUUGGACAAAAUUAACUACAAGUGCUACGACUUCUGGCCACACAAGUGUUUUAUAUUGUACUCUGUGCGUGUAUCAGGUAAUAUUCCAUCGUGGUGGAUUUCUCAUUUGAAGCCGACUGUGUUUUCAUGGACACACUCACUCCCAUAUUUCCCCUCAUGAACGGAAAAACAAGCCCUGCUUAUCAAAGAGCAGUUUGGCCAGUGUGUCUAUAACAAGGAGCAAUGCAUUAUUAAAAAGAUAGCCACAUUAAAUAUUGUCUUAUUCUCA